CAGCCGCCACGGUAAUACGGAGGGGGCUAGCGUUGUUCGGAAUUACUGGGCGUAAAGCGCACGUAGGCGGCUUGGUAAGUUAGAGGUGAAAGCCUGGAGCUCAACUCCAGAAUUGCCUUUAAGACUGCCGAGCUAGCAGGUGAGAGAGGUAAGUGGAAUUCCGAGUGUAGAGGUGAAAUUCGUAGAUAUUCGGAAGAACACCAGUGGCGAAGGCGGCUUACUGGCUCAUACUGGACGCUGAGGUGCGAAAGCGUGGGGAGCAAACAGGAUUAGAUACCCGGGUAGUCCCUGUCUCUUAUAC
rnacentral:rRNA from 1 species